GGCCACCAAGUUUUUUGUUCUUUAUUGUAGGUUUCUUCUGCGGGACUUUAAAAAUUCGCCACUCUCACCCACUUCCCAUUCCUUGUUUUGUGCCAUUUAACUUUUUGUAAAGUUUGGUUUUGCGAUGCCUUGGCUUUUGUCCCAGAGCAUCUCUCAAUCUUUAGAACAAAGAAUAGAGUAUAAAUAAAUAAUGACAUCGACUCUUAGGGACUAUAAAAUCAGCUUUUCUACUCCACUAGGGAGGUCCACAGGGAGCAUCUGCUUUCUGGGAAAGCAAAUGGAGGAGAGUUGCCAUGAAUGCUCACUUCUUCCAUGGGAAGACUCCCGAGCCCUUGCGACCCUGAGAGAAGGCAGUGACCUGAUCUGCAGGGGUUCAGCCUUCGUAACGGAGUCAGCCAUCAACAAAGCACCAGGUGGUGGGAAGAGACAGAAACCAACUCCUCCAGCUCAGGAGUCACAGUCCGGGAAGGGAGCACGUGAUGCCCACACCAGCCUCA
rnacentral:lncRNA from 1 species